rnacentral:lncRNA from 1 species
CUCUCCCACUAGGGGUAGCUGUUGCCUGAACGCCGGAGCGCUCCCCUCUCGCCGCUCGCCUCGCCCGGCGCAGCCCCGGCCGCCAGGCGCACCCGUCCCGUGCGUCCCCGGACGUUGCUCUCUGCCCCGGGAACGUCGAGACUGGAGCGCCCGAGCCGAGCCACCUUCGCCGACCCGGAGCGCUGCGGCUCGACUCACCGCGGAGGCGCUCGGACGCGAGAAGUGCGUACUCUCAACGGGGGAUGUGUGCAGGCUUUUAGGGGUGCGGGGCAAGUCCUCAACUCUGUGGGGCUCUGGUCGGUCCUGCGGCCGCGUCCGAGAUCUUCUGAUCCGUCGCCGCGCGCGGCCUGGGGCCGGCGGCUUGGGGCGGCGGGGCGGGGAGUGCCUUGACCUGGGGUCCCCGAAGCCGGGAGACGCCCCAGACAAAAACCCGCCACCCGGGGGGCAAGGCGAUUUCUGCUGCCUGGGGCCGUGGCGGUGGGGGCUGCGGAGCCCAGGAGCUUCCCACCCAGAGGAAAGGCAGCCUCACCCUCACUCUUCUCAGCGCGGACACGCCGCCCUCACCGCCGUGGGUGAGGGUCCUCAGGCUACACCCCACGGCUUGGAAUUCCACAACAUUGGACGAGGCACUCAGGACGGCCUGGCUCCCACAGACCCCUGCAGGAUGAACAGCCUCCCUGAGUCCAGGACGCCAGUGUCCGAAGAUUUCUGAAGGUUGUUGCAUUGAACCCAGGAAGGCUCCAGAGUGCCGGGGACUCUGGGGCAAGCCCUCCCCCUUCCCUGCUUUGGCUGGCAGAGCUUCGAGGCCACCUCCUCCAGGCAGUCUUCCCAAACGCCUGAGCCGUGCUUGAAAAUCUGCUGUCCUCUCAGGCUGCUGCCCUGCUGCUCUGCCCGCCGCUCCUGAGUCCCGUCCAAACUGCCUGGCCUGGCCUUCCAGGCCUCCAAGUGGGGCCUCCGCUUCCCUCUUCAGCUCAUCUCCCGCCCCAGCCCGGCCCUGACCCAGUGCACCGGCCACGGAAGCAUCGCAGCCUCGACUCCACGAACACCAGGCCUGCGAACCGGGACCAUCACCGCUCCAGGAGGCGCCAAUCAAGGCCACUCGGCCGGACUCCGUGUCUGGACCUGGGCCCUGUCUUCUGCCUCCGAGUUCCCGCGCUUCCCGACUAGCCGCGGUUUCUGCACGCGCGCUUCCUCCGCUGGUACCACCCCCUCCCUUUCUGGAACUCCUUCCAGCUCAUCGUCCCAAACCCUAGCUGUCCUUCAAGGCCUGGCCCAGACGUGGCCUCCUGGACCUCCCCCUCCCCCCUGUAGUGUGUUUUGCCUUUUAUUUGUGACCUUGGGUCGCCGAGUUCCCGGGAGGGAGGGGCGAUGGGGGUCUACCGGCAGAGACGGCUAGUGGUCCCCCAGUACUCACUCUCCUCUUCCGAAAGUAAAAGAAGCUCCAAAUU